GGACUACCCGGGUAUCUAAUCCUGUUCGCUACCCAUGCUUUCGCUCCUCAGCGUCAGUAACUGCCCAGUAACCUGCCUUCGCCAUCGGUGUUCCUCCUGAUAUCUGCGCAUUUCACCGCUACACCAGGAAUUCCAGUUACCCCUACAGUACUCAAGUUAUGCCCGUAUCGCCUGCACGCCCGGAGUUAAGCCCCGGAAUUUCACAGACGACGCGACAAACCACCUACGAGCCCUUUACGCCCAGUAAUUCCGGACAACGCUCGCACCCUACGUAUUACCGCGGCUGCUGGCAC
rnacentral:rRNA from 1 species